AAAAAUGCUGCCACUUUAAUUGUGCUGACAACUCGAGAUCUCCCGAGUUCCAUCGAGAUCCCAUUCCCCACGACAUCAAACUACCGCGAGAUGCAGCCCUGCCUCGAUCUGCAUGCAGUGUGGAUCCCGCGAGAUUUCAUUCAGCAAUUCCCAUCCCCCACGCAGCACGCGCUGCAUCGCGCCGACGCCAUUACUACUCUCUGACUGCUUUGCUGUAAUUUUCGAGAGAAGACGUUUGCCGUCAGUGUAACCAAGAAAGUAAUCGGACGGUCUUGGAUGUUGAUGCAGUGGAGCAGAAAUUGGCAGACCCCACCUUCCAGAAACAAGUGCUUUCUGUGGUGGUAGAAAUUGGAGGCAAUACUGUGGAUGAAGCCACGAGAAGAAUGAGGGCUUUCCUUUUGGACCACCCCUUAUCAAGAGAGUUCAAUUUUGUUAGCCGGCAUGGAAAGUGAGAGUUUCGGGGGCUCAAACUGCUUGAGGUUGUAUAAGGAAGCCUGAAAAAAUUCUCUUAACCAAAUUACCAGAAAAGAGGCAGAAAAGUCAGUGUCAAAGUGGCUCAUCGGUGACGGGAGGAAACCGUUCUGCGAAGUCUCGUAGUAGAGAGCAAGAUAGGCAAGUGAUAUUCGUGAUUAUUAAAUGGAAAUACAAUCUUUAAAAAGACAAGAAUCGUCUGUUUUAACUGAAAAAGUGGCACAGUGGUUCAUUAAUUGUUGUCUUUUCAAAGGGUCAUUGGGAGAGCGAGGACAGAGGUGUGAGGGGCUGCACGGUUGGUUUGUUUGUUUGUGAAAUAAUGUAUUUUAGAGUUUUCAGAUAUGUGUAUACAAACGAUACAAGUUAUUCCAAAUAAUGUUUGGCAGGAGCUUCACUUUAA